rnacentral:lncRNA from 1 species
ACAAGUCCUUAUUCAUAAUUAAAAUAAACUUUCACAUUACCUUAUUCAUAAAUCAAACUCCCACAUUAUCUUAUUCAUAAAACAAACUACAUAAAAUCAAAUACAUCAAUCGGAUACAUCAACAUUCUCGUCAUCACUAGAAACAUCAUCAUUUUCAUUAAACUCGUCUUCAACAGCUUCGUCUGUGGCAUCGUCGGUAAGAUCUUCGUACUCGUGAUUAUACGGAUCAAUGAGAAGGAUGUCAUCAAUU